rnacentral:misc_RNA from 1 species
AAACUACAAAAUUGAACACAACUUUUCUCUUUCUUUCGAAAUAUUUUUCUUUAUCAAUUACCAAUAACAAGUUGAUUUUUUUAACAAAAGUUGCAGUAGAAUAGGUUGAAAGAUGUUACGAGACAUUUUUUCGAACACUUUAUUUUUGGAAUCACUUUUCGUUGAAACAUUACGUGUGGAGAGAAAUAAAAACAAUAUAAGUUUAAUAGUUUUGAAA